rnacentral:rRNA from 1 species
AUUGAACGCUGGCGGCAGGCCUAACACAUGCAAGUCGAGCGGCUGAAGGGAACUUUCUCCUGGAUUCAGCUGCGGAUGGGCGAGUAAUGCCUAGGAAUCUGCCUGGUAGUGGGGGCUAACGUCCGGAAACGGGCGCUAAUACCGCAUACGCCCUGAGGGAGAAAGUGGGGGAUCAUCGGACCUUACGCUAUUAGGUGAGCCUAUGACGGAUUAGCUAGUUGGGGGGGUAAAGGCCUACAAAGGCGACGAUCCGAAACUGGUCUGCGAGUCUGAUCAGCUCACCUGGAACUGAAGCACGGUCCAGCCUCCGCAGGGAGGCAGCAGUGGGGAAUAUUGGAGAAUGGGCGCAAGCCUGAUCCAGCCAUACCGCGGGGGUGAAGAAGGUCUUCGGGUUGUAAAACCCUUUUGUUGGGAAAGAAAAGCAGUAGGUUAAUACCUGGCUGUUCUGACGGUACCAAAAGAAUAAGCCCCGGCUAACUUCGUG